AAAAAAAAAGGAAAAAAAAAAAAAAGGGGGGGAAAAAAGAGUGAAGCCAAGUCCCUCGUGGCUCGGAUGACUUUCUGGCUUGUCAGAAACACACCUCUCCAAGCCUUUCCCCCGUAGAUCAUCCAAAAGCGUCUAUUAAAAAGUGCAGGGCUCGGGGAUGUCAGCAGGCGGCCAAUCAGACCGCAUGGCCCAAGGUGAGGGAUGAGGCUCAGCCCAGGGCUGUCAAUCACCCUCUCCUCCCCCUCCACCCCACAACUUUGUUCCGAGCUCUCGCUGCCACGGACAAACCCUCUGUGCACCACACUCCACUGGGGCACCGCGAUCUGGGGGGAGGAUUUUUUAUUUGAAUUUUUUAAUAUUUUUUUUCCCCCCCAAUUUCACUUGGAGCCCAGGAUGUGCUGCCCCUGAAUGUCAGGACUCGCAAGCUUUUCUUCCUUUCUCCAUCUGAAUGUACCAGCAGGAAGAAACCAAGUGCCUGAGGAAGGGGAUGGGAUCCUGGAGUCUCCUGGAUUUGUGCUCAGCAUGGAUCUCAAGGUGUGGAACCGUGUGUGAUGCUCCGGGAGCUCAGAGCCCUCCUGGUGGAGUCACCCCAGGGUCAGGGUGAUGUGAAGAGGACAACCCACACCUCCCAGCCAAGGGCAGAGAUGGAUGACUGGGAUGAGCUCUCAGAGGGGGUUUGGACCCCUGGCUCAGAGUUUUGGGGAUGGCAGGGGACGUACAAGGCCUGUGGUGCAGCACUAAGCAAUGACAGGGUCAGAGGGCUUGACCUGCAGGUCCACCCCAGGGCACAGGUAAAGGGUGGCAGAAGUGGGUGCUAAGGUUGAAUUUCACUUCUGAGCAUGACCAGGAGCAGGAAUUGGAGGUGGAUCUCUUGGACAAUGGUCUUUUAAGGGUUA